rnacentral:misc_RNA from 1 species
GUUUUUACUUUUGUUUUGGGUUUCUUGUGUUUUGUACCUGAAUGAUGGCAUUGUCUUUGCUCGACUAAAGUCCCUUUUUGUUUUGUGUUGCAUUUGUGAUGCUAUAUGAACGUUUAAGUUGUUUCUGUGUUCCAUUCUGUUGAUGCAAAUGAUACACUAUGUAGCAUUUUUAUSUAUCGUUUGGCCCAWUGAGAUUUGCUUGGUCCCUUGAAUACAGAACAUGAUGUUGGCUUUAAGUUCUUUAAUGAUCUUUAUUUUGCCUUUUCUGGCUGUUCUCCAAACGACAGAUCAUGUGUGCCUAGGCUUGUACCUUCGUGAUGAUCAAUUGUCA